UUCUUAUUGAUUUUAUAAUAAGUAGAACCUGCUCCAUGAAAUUUAAAUAGCCGCAGUAUUCUGUGCUAAGGUAGCAUAAUCACUUGACUUUUAAUUAAAGUCUAGAAUGAAAGGUUUAACAAUUAAAAAUCUUUAUUUGAAAUAAUAUUUAUGAAAUUAUUUUAAUUAUAAAAAUAUAAUUAUUUUAUAAAAAGACGAUAAGACCCUAUUGAACUUUACUAUAGUUUAACUGGGGCAGUUAAUUAAUAAUUAUUUUAAAAAAAAGAUUAAUAUAAAUGACCCAAUAUUAUUGAUUAAAUGAUUAAGUUACCAUAGGGAUAACAGCGUAAUAUAUUUUUAAAGUUCUUAUAUAAAAAAAAGAUUGCGACCUCGAUGUUGAAUUAUUUUUACUUUAUAAUGCAAUUGUAAUAAAAGUAAGUCUGUUCGACUUUUAAAAAUUUACA
rnacentral:rRNA from 1 species